GACUCAAAAAUUUGAGGGUCAAAACAAGUCCAUCAAAUCUAGAGUACGUUCGACCUUGAUGAUAUGGGAUACUAUUGCUGUUGACGGAAUAAUGAAUGUGGUAUGGAAAGGUGUCGUGCUGUAGUGAUCUGUUUCAGCCCACCGUUGAACCUUCUGCUUCAAUCUUUUGCAUGGCAGAAGUGGUGUGCAACCUUUGCAUUUAAAUGGUCAUUCAGAACAUUCCUUCAUAUUGACUCAUUCACGCUUGGCAGCUUCAGUGUAAAGAGCCAAUAUCUGAUCAACUGUCAUGAGGUAUUUGCCGGUGGAAUUCGUGACCUUGACAGCAGUUGAGGAUGAGUACUCGAGAGCAAUGCUAAGUAAGCGACCAGGCAAAGGCUCCAGGCAGUCAGUUCCAAAUUGGAGGUUUGAUUUCAGGUUCCGACUGACUGCUCUCUUUCUCCUUGUCCUGCAGGUGUGAACAAGGACAAAGACAAAGACAGGGAGAAAGCAUGAUAUGGGAUACUCUUGCUUUUCGACCCUGAUGAUAUGAGAUACUCUUGUUCUUGGUGUGGCUUUAUUUGCUGAGGUAUUAUCGGGGGGAAAUAAAGCUGAGUAUUUCGAGAGGUUAUGUUGAG
rnacentral:lncRNA from 1 species